AUUUGCUGAGGAUCAGUAAUGCUCUCCGUCUGCCGGCUGACAAGGGCGUGAUCUCUGUGCUAUUAUCCUCCAUUUGUCAGCUCCUCUCUGACACAGUUGUCCGCCGAUUCCUUAGGAAUAUUGGAGGUAUUUAGGCACAAUUUCAGGAGCUGCUCCAGCUUGUAGCCUCUCAUUCCUAAUCAACAUUUCCCAGCUGAGACUAUAGAUAAUUCAACUAGGCGGGUUAUCAGAGGCGUUCUUCCUACUCUGCUUCGUUUGGAUCUCUGCGCCCUCUAAGGUUCAGGGAGCUGGCUCCGACGUUUCCCAUCAUCACGAUUUUCAGGAGUCGGGGCUACAAAGAACCGAAAGGAGAUUCAUCCAUCACAGUUAGUCAACGUUUCUCCAAGUGCAACGUUUCUCCUCGCAAAGGACCUGGAUUAGACUGGCAAUACGCCACCUCUUCUGCUGGAAGGUGUUUUUUCUUACAAUGGAAUAUCAUGUAUGCUCCACAGGCAGUCCUUGCUCUGUACAGGUCUCCCGGGCAUGAAUUUCGGUUACCAUGAUUUAGUUAAAUAAUCCCAGCCUCCCAAUGACACAAGUCAAGUUUCGGUUUCCACCACAUGUUAACUCUGGGAAAGCACAUGAAGCGCAAACUUCACAGCCAGGUCUUCAGUCCGCAAGUCAUCACGUCCAUGACAGAUGUGCGUCAUGAUCCGGGACCAGUCAGGUCACUUCUUUCAUGUCUGGCAGUGCUUGGUUGCUGUGCACGUUAUUCAGUUCACACACCGACAGCAAAACGUGUCCUUGUGCUGCCUCCUUGUCUCCUAGAGAAUAUCUACCUCACAUUUCACAAGACUGGAUAUUCGAAAGAGGGAAGGAGAGACAAUGAAGACAAAAGGGCAGCAAAGAAGCAGAAAGUGAUUAAGCUGGAAGUGAAGUUCUAAUAGAGUAUAAAUGGAGUUGUAGAGGAAACAGCCAACUGUGGGAACGUUCAAUCUGCAGACAUUAAAGAGACUAAACAUGCAGCCAAAGCAACUUAGUAAAGGCCAAACCAAUGUAACUGAAGAAAGUGAUUGGGAGAAAAGGAUGAAGAUGUGCCAGAUGACAACCUGCAAGAAUUCCAAGAGAUAAAACACAAAAGUUUGGGAGCUUCCCUGGAGUCUUUAACUCACAGACUUUUCCACAACAAGCCUCCAGCAAGUCAUCAAUUACAGUUCAGGUGUUCCCACCUUGGUACUAGUUUCCACAGAGAUAUCUGCUCUGGUAACUUGUUCUCCAUUUCUGCCAGUCUGUGUCUCCAAUUCUGGGGACAGCGAUUUGCCCUGUGAUCUCACUUCUCUCAUGAAUCUAAGAAGAGUUGUUGAUUUUUCAGUUUGUUCAGCUUUUUCCUUGUUAUUAGGAUGGCGUGGCAACUUCCAAGCUCCCUACAUGAUGGACUGGAAACUGGAAGUCUCAUAAGUCUUUUUACAAUGUAAUAAAACAUGUUAAUUCUCACUAUUUCUAAU
rnacentral:lncRNA from 1 species